rnacentral:rRNA from 1 species
CGGGGUGAGUAAUGUAUGGGGAUCUGCCUGAUGGCGGGGGGUAACUACUGGAAACGGUAGCUAAUACCGCAUAAUGUCUACGGACCAAAGCGGGGGACCUCCGGGCCUCGCGCCAUCAGAUGAACCCAUAUGGGAUUAGCUAGUAGGUAAGGUAACGGCUUACCUAGGCGACGAUCCCUAGCUGGUCUGAGAGGAUGAUCAGCCACACUGGGACUGAGACACGGCCCAG